UGCACCGCCACCUGCACUCGUUUCGUCACACGGCUUUAACAGGCUUGACGGUGGUUGCCCGUCCGGCUCGCAUUACUUUCGCCAAUUAAGCCAGGCACAGUCGUUGUAAUUUAAACUUGCGAAUAUGAAAUUCCAGGAUUAUUCGGAAUUCCGCAGACCGACGGAACGUGUCGCCGCCAGCCGUCUAAUUCGCGGUCGACUCUCUUAGAAAGGCAUGGAAAGGCGGAUGCUCCGUCAAGUACAUCAAGCGGGAUGCUUACCCGACACAAUCAGAUAUAGCAAGGAAUAUUCUCUUGAGCACUUGUCCACAGACGUUUGGAUAUGCAAUCCAACGACACAAAUAAAAUCUACAAAAGAUGCAAAGUGAGGAAUAGGUGUGCUUUUCAUUUAUGGUUGUUGUGCAAUUCAUAUAUACACUUUACAACUGAAUUCAUCUCUGAAUUCAUCGCUGCAGCUAUGGACGCAUUUAAAAAAAAACACAAUCUGUCAUAUUUUGCGAUGCUAAACUGACAUUUGACAUGACGACUAUCAUAAGAGUUAAAUACGUUGAAUGUUUGUCAAAUAACGAUGACGUUGAAUAUUCAGAAACAGCAUCUGUAGAGAGAGAGAUGUUAGUGAAUUUAAA